rnacentral:lncRNA from 1 species
CUGCUCAGACAAUUUCUCUGUAUUCCCCCCAGACUACCUGUCCUUGCUUCCACUCUCUGCAGGCUUCUUUUUUUGUGUUUGAUUUUGGCCAGAAGCUCCUUGUUCAUCCAUGCAGGCCUCCUGGCAUUUUUGCCUGACUACUUGUUUGUCAGGAUGCAUCGAUCUUGAGCUUGGAGGAAGUGAACCUUAAAUAUUAACCAGCUUUCUUGGGCCCCUCUUCUCUCCAGGGCUUUGUCCCUUGGUACUCUACCAAGCAGAUCCUUGAAAAGGCCAAAGUCUGCUCCCCCAAGGUCUAGGGUAGCGAGCUUGCUGUACUCUGUUAUCACAUUCCAGGAACAUUCCAGGAACUUCCUGGAUUACCUGUGCCCUAUUGUGAUGUCCCUCCAACAGAUAUUGGGGUGGUUGAAGUCCCCCAUGAGGACCAGGACUUGUGAACUUUAGGGUGCUCUUAUCUGCAGAGGGUCUCAUCCACUCAUCCACUCAUUCUUCCUGGCAUUGCCACCACCACUUUAUGUGGUCAUUUUGCCACUUUGUCACCUCUCUCAUCUGUUUUACUUUUUCCUGCUUCAUCUUGACAAGUCACUUGAGGGGGUCCAUAUCUCUGGAGAUUUACAUGUGUUUUCCUGACAAACAAAGACAAUCUUAUGUGAUUUCUGCUCCAGAGGAUGUGAGAGAAGGUUCAUAUUGCUGCCAUUGGGAAAAUAUAUGAAGAUUAGUUUCCAGUUUGAUUUGCUUAUAUGGUGUGCCAAAUCCUUGUGAACUCCUACACUGGCUGUUUUUAUAGUUACCAAAGCAGUGGCAUCCUUAUUGUUUUUAUUACUAAGAAGAAAAUUUGUUUUUACAAAUACAUUACCAGUCUAUGUGUAUGUUUCUGUAAUGCACUUCUGAACAUACAAUUGUAACAAAUUUUAACAAACCUAGUUAUAUACCAAUAUAUAAGAAAUAUGGAUUGCAAUACAGAUAUAUGAGCAUGAUAUUUUUCCAUUUACAUAGGUUGUACACAUUUGUCAGUCUGGCUUUUUUUUUUUUUUCCCCAUCAGAUUUUUAAUCAGAUAUUCCUGAUUUGCUACUUAAAUUCUUGCUCAAAAAGUUAAUUGAAUAGAUCUAUUUAUUUAUUUAUUUAUUUAUUUCCUGAUAACAUUUUAGGAUACUAAUGUAACUGUUAUAACCACAAAUGAAUUUAGUUGUAUCUCUGGAAAGAUUUGUUUCUUGGAAUGGUUUCAAUUAACAUCUCUGUACUUCCUGCCUCCUGUACUUUCCCCUUUAUUGAGAGAUGCUAUCUCAUCUUUACGCCUACCAGUGAGAAAAAGGUAAGUAUUUGAUUUUAAGUUUUAAAUGAACCUAAGUAAUUGGUCACAGUAGAUUUAUCUUAAAGACAUUUUUCAGUUCAAUUGAAAUAUUGACUUUUGUGAAGCGAAAAGCUCAUUUUGCAUACCUGAGAUCUCAGCAAGUUUUUAAAAGUCUCUAGACAGGUAUUAACUGCAGGAUAGAGACAUGUUGCUUCUAUAUACACAAUAAAGUGACAUACACAGAAUUUUUCA